rnacentral:rRNA from 1 species
GACAGAGGGUGCAAACGUUGUUCGGAAUUACUGGGCGUAAAGCGCGUGUAGGCGGUUAUGCAAGUCGGGUGUGAAAGCCCGGAGCUCAACUCCGGAAGUGCAUUCGAUACUGCGUAGCUAGAGUACUGGAGAGGAUGGUGGAACUCUCGGUGUAGAGGUGAAAUUCGUAGAUAUUCGCAAGAACACCAGUGGCGAAGGCGGCUCACUGGGCCAAUACUGACGCUGAGGAGCGAAAGCGUGGGGAGCGAACAGG